rnacentral:tRNA from 1 species
GAAAUAUUAACAUGUAAAUGCUAUUUAUCAAGUUAGAAGCUUGAAUUUGAUAUUUC